UACGUAGGGUGCAGGCGUUAAUCGGAAUUACUGGGCGUAAAGCGUGCGCAGGCGGUUUGCUAAGACAGGUGUGAAAUCCCCGGGCUUAACCUGGGAACUGCGCUUGUAACUGGCAAGCUAGAGUGUGGCAGAGGGGGGUGGAAUUCCACGUGUGGCAGUGAAAUGCGUAGAGAUGUGGAGGAACACCGAUGGCGAAGGCAGCCCCCUGGGCUAACACUGACGCUCAUGCACGAAAGCGUGGGGAGCAAACAGG
rnacentral:rRNA from 1 species